CACGGGGAAGAACUAACAAGGAUUCCCCUAGUAACUGCGAGUGAAGCGGGAAAAGCUCAAAUUUAAAAUCUGGCGGUCUUUGGCCGUCCGAGUUGUAGUCUGGAGAAGUGCUUUCCGCGCUGGACCGUGUAUAAGUCUCUUGGAACAGAGCGUCAUAGAGGGUGAGAAUCCCGUCUUUGACACGGACUACCAGUGCUUUGUGAUGCGCUCUCAAAGAGUCGAGUUGUUUGGGAAUGCAGCUCAAAAUGGGUGGUGAAUUCCAUCUAAAGCUAAAUAUUGGCGAGAGACCGAUAGCGAACAAGUACCGUGAGGGAAAGAUGAAAAGCACUUUGGAAAGAGAGUUAAACAGUACGUGAAAUUGCUGAAAGGGAAACGCUUGAAGUCAGUCGCGUUGUCUGGGACUCAGCCUUGCUUUUGCUUGGUGCACUUUCCGGAUGACGGGCCAGCAUCGAUUUUGACCGUCGGAAAAGGGCUAGGGUAAUGUGGCACCUCCGGGUGUGUUAUAGACUUUAGUCGCAUACGGCGGUCGGGAUCGAGGAACGCAGCGCGCCGUAAGGCAGGGGUUCGCCCACUUUCGCGCUUAGGAUGCUGGCGUAAUGGCUUUAAACGACCCGUCUUGAAACACGGACCAAGGAGUCUAACAUACCUGCGAGUGUUUGGGUGGAAAACCCGAGCGCGUAAUGAAAGUGAAAGUUGAGACCUCUGUCGUGGAGGGCAUCGACGCCCGGACCUGACGUUCUCUGACGGAUCCGCGGUAGAGCAUGUAUGUUGGGACCCGAAAGAUGGUGAACUAUGCCUGAAUAGGGUGAAGCCAGAGGAAACUCUGGUGGAGGCUCGUAGCGAUUCUGACGUGCAAAUCGAUCGUCAAAUUUGGGUAUAGGGGCGAAAGACUAAUCGAACCAUCAGUGCG
rnacentral:rRNA from 1 species